GCCCUGAUGGUCUAGUGGUAUGAUUCGCCCUUAGGGAGCUGAACCGUAGAUUUCCCAUUGGGUGAGGUCCCCAGUUCAACUCUGGGUUAGGGCC